rnacentral:tRNA from 2 species
UCCGCAGUAGCUCAAUGGUAGAGCAGCCGGCUGUUAACCGGCGGGUUAGAGGUUCGAGUCCUCUCUGCGGAGCCA